rnacentral:tRNA from 1 species
GGGGUUCUAGCUCAUCGGUAGAGCGCUCGCUUAGCAUCCAGUCCUGGUUGCGAGAGGCGCUGGGUUCGAUUCCCAGGUACUCCA